GCGUAUAGAUUUUUACAAUAUUUGCUCACUGUAGAUGUGGCCAGUAGUGGUGUAGAUACGAGCGAGGUAUGCAGUGGCUUGUAUGGCCUCUUCGGCGACGUGCUAAUCCGUUCUUUUGAUUUAGAUAUGGAUACAGAGGACAGGCAUGGAACACCCUGCACUCGUNUAAAAUUAACCAAUUCGGGAAUCUGAAGCGAUUUUAGCACUGAGACGCACUCACUUAACGACAUUCGCUUGUGCUCUCGAACAUAUGCAUUUGUUUUUAUAUAUCUAAAAUAUAUUUAUGUAUGUAUAAUAUAAUAAUUAAACUCCA